rnacentral:rRNA from 1 species
UACGUAGGUGGCGAGCGUUGUCCGGAUUUACUGGGCGUAAAGGGCUUGUAGGCGGUCCGUUAAGUCCGAUGUGAAAUCUCCCGGCUCAACUGGGAGAGGUCAUUGGAUACUGGCGGACUAGAGGGGGGUAGAGGAAAGCAGAAUUCCUGGUGUAGCGGUGAAAUGCGUAGAUAUCAGGAGGAACACCAGUGGCGAAGGCGACUCACUGGACAUGUAUUGACGCUGAGGUGCGAAAGCGUGGGGAGCAAACAGG